CCCUUAGAUGUCCUGGGCCGCACGCGCGUUACACUGAUGCAUUCAACGAGCUUAUAACCUUGGCCGAGAGGCCUGGGCAAUCUUGUUAACGUGCAUCGUGAUAGGGAUAGAUUAUUGAAAUUAUUAAUCUUGAACGAGGAAUUCCUAGUAAACGCAGAUCAUCAAUCUGCAUUGAUUACGUCCCUGCCCUUUGUACACACCGCCCGUCGCUCCUACCGAUUGAGUGCUCCGGUGAACAAUUUGGACUGCUUUGAUUCGAUUAGAAUUUGAAGCGGAAAGUUUAGUGAACCUUAUCACUUAGAGGAAGGAGAAGUCGUAACA
rnacentral:rRNA from 1 species